AUUGUGAUGUUCAAGAAUGGGAUUGGUAUUGGGAGUUAACCCACAUCUUUUAAAGAGUUGAAGUGAGGUUUUGACAAGUUAUAAGAGUGAUCGAGUAGCCAGAAGAUCGAAAGUGUAUUGCAAAAUGCGAAAAUCUGUAUUUUGCAUUGUGUACCGGUGACAGAAUGAUUUGGUACCGGUACCAGUAUUGUAGCUGCGUGGCAGUAAGGCUGUUUUGGUCAUUU
rnacentral:lncRNA from 1 species